UACGUAGGUGGCAAGCGUUAUCCGGAGUUAUUGGGCGUAAAGGGAACGCAGGCGGUCUUUUAAGUCUGAUGUGAAAGCCUUCGGCUUAACCGGAGUAGUGCAUUGGAAACUGGGAGACUUGAGUGCAGAAGAGGAGAGUGGAACUCCAUGUGUAGCGGUGAAAUGCGUAGAUAUAUGGAAGAACACCAGUGGCGAAAGCGGCUCUCUGGUCUGUAACUGACGCUGAGGUUCGAAAGCGUGGGUAGCAAACAGG
rnacentral:rRNA from 1 species